rnacentral:rRNA from 1 species
UUAGAACCAGUGGGAGCACAGGUUUACCUGUGUGACUGCGUACCUUUUGUAUAAUGGGUCAGCGACUUAUAUUCUGUAGCAAGGUUAACCGUAUAGGGGAGCCGGAGGGAAACCGAGUCUUAAUUGGGCGUUAAGUUGCAGGGUAUAGACCCGAAACCCGGUGAUCUAGCCAUGGGCAGGUUGAAGGUUGGGUAACACUAACUGGAGGACCGAACCGACUAAUGUUGAAAAAUUAGCGGAUGACCUGUGGCUGGGGGUGAAAGGCCAAUCAAACCGGGAGAUAGCUGGUUCUCCCCGAAAGCUAUUUAGGUAGCGCCUCGUGAAUUCAUCUCCGGGGGUAGAGCACUGUUUCGGCUAGGGGGCCAUCCCGGCUUACCAACCCGAUGCAAACUGCGAAUACCGGAGAAUGUUAUCACGGGAGACACACGGCGGGUGCUAACGUCCGUCGUGAAGAGGGAAACAACCCAGACCGCCAGCUAAGGUCCCAAAGUCAUGGUUAAGUGGGAAACGAUGUGGGAAGGCCCAGACAGCCAGGAUGUUGGCUUAGAAGCAGCCAUCAUUUAAAGAAAGCGUAAUAGCUCACUGGUCGAGUCGGCCUGCGCGGAAGAUGUAACGGGGCUAAACCAUGCACCGAAGCUGCGGCAGCGANNUGCUGGAGGUAUCAGAAGUGCGAAUGCUGACAUAAGUAACGAUAAAGCGGGUGAAAAGCCCGCUCGCCGGAAGACCAAGGGUUCCUGUCCAACGUUAAUCGGGGCAGGGUGAGUCGACCCCUAAGGCGAGGCCGAAAGGCGUAGUCGAUGGGAAACGGGUUAAUAUUCCCGUACUUGGUGUUACUGCGAAGGGGGGACGGAGAAGGCUAUGUUGGCCGGGCGACGGUUGUCCCGGUUUAAGCGUGUAGGUGUGUGUUCCAGGUAAAUCCGGUUCACUUUAACACUGAGGCGUGACGACGAGGCACUACGGUGCUGAAGCAACAAAUGCCCUGCUUCCAGGAAAAGCCUCUAAGCAUCAGGUAACAUCAAAUCGUACCCCAAACCGACACAGGUGGUCAGGUAGAGAAUACCAAGGCGCUUGAGAGAACUCGGGUGAAGGAACUAGGCAAAAUGGUGCCGUAACUUCGGGAGAAGGCACGCUGACACGUAGGUGAAGUGAUUUACUCAUGGAGCUGAAGUCAGUCGAAGAUACCAGCUGGCUGCAACUGUUUAUUAAAAACACAGCACUGUGCAAACACGAAAGUGGACGUAUACGGUGUGACGCCUGCCCGGUGCCGGAAGGUUAAUUGAUGGGGUCAGCGCAAGCGAAGCUCCUGAUCGAAGCCCCGGUAAACGGCGGCCGUAACUAUAACGGUCCUAAGGUAGCGAAAUUCCUUGUCGGGUAAGUUCCGACCUGCACGAAUGGCGUAAUGAUGGCCAGGCUGUCUCCACCCGAGACUCAGUGAAAUUGAACUCGCUGUGAAGAUGCAGUGUACCCGCGGCAAGACGGAAAGACCCCGUGAACCUUUACUAUAGCUUGACACUGAACAUUGAGCCUUGAUGUGUAGGAUAGGUGGGAGGCUUUGAAGUGUGGACGCCAGUCUGCAUGGAGCCGACCUUGAAAUACCACCCUUUAAUGUUUGAUGUUCUAACGUGGACCCGUAAUCCGGGUUGCGGACAGUGUCUGGUGGGUAGUUUGACUGGGGCGGUCUCCUCCUAAAGAGUAACGGAGGAGCACGAAGGUUGGCUAAUCCUGGUCGGACAUCAGGAGGUUAGUGCAAUGGCAUAAGCCAGCUUGACUGCGAGCGUGACGGCGCGAGCAGGUGCGAAAGCAGGUCAUAGUGAUCCGGUGGUUCUGAAUGGAAGGGCCAUCGCUCAACGGAUAAAAGGUACUCCGGGGAUAACAGGCUGAUACCGCCCAAGAGUUCAUAUCGACGGCGGUGUUUGGCACCUCGAUGUCGGCUCAUCACAUCCUGGGGCUGAAGUAGGUCCCAAGGGUAUGGCUGUUCGCCAUUUAAAGUGGUACGCGAGCUGGGUUUAGAACGUCGUGAGACAGUUCGGUCCCUAUCUGCCGUGGGCGCUGGAGAACUGAGGGGGGCUGCUCCUAGUACGAGAGGACCGGAGUGGACGCAUCACUGGUGUUCGGGUUGUCAUGCCAAUGGCACUGCCCGGUAGCUAAAUGCGGAAGAGAUAAGUGCUGAAAGCAUCUAAGCACGAAACUUGCCCCGAGAUGAGUUCUCCCUGAGACUUAGAGUCUCCUGAAGGAACGUUGAAGACGACGACGUUGAUAGGCCGGGUGUGUAAGCGCAGCGAUGCGUUGAGCUAACCGGUACUAAUGAACCGUGAGGCUUAACCUUACAACGCCGAAG